rnacentral:rRNA from 1 species
UACAGAGGUCUCAAGCGUUGUUCGGAUUCAUUGGGCGUAAAGGGUGCAUAGGCGGCGCGGUAAGUCGGGUGUGAAAUCUUGGAGCUUAACUCCGAAACUGCAUUCGAUACUGCCGUGCUUGAGGACUGGAGAGGAGACUGGAAUUUACGGUGUAGCGGUGAAAUGCGUAGAUAUCGUAAGGAACACCGGUGGCGAAGGCGGGUCUCUGGGCAGUAACUGACGCUGAGGAGCGAAAGCGUGGGGAGCGAACAGG